CAAGUUUAAAUUGAAAUGAGUGAACUGGAGUGAGGAUCAGCUCUUUUUUUCCCGUCCGUCUAAUAUCAGCGAUCAUCCCUUGAGUACUAACUCAUUUGGCUAAUGAAACAUCGAGCAGAUCCCCUGUGGCAUCUUACCACCUCUCCCUGGCUGAUUUCUGCUAUUACUCCAGUGAUUUAUGUGGCAUUGUGAUCUGAUCUGCUGGACUGAAAUCAGAUCAGAACCGAGACCUUAUUAUAUGGAAUAGUCUUGCUGAUUGGGUUUUGCUUUGUUUUGUUUUCCUGACUAGUGUUCCUUUCUGUAAUGUUAUGAUACUAGCCCAGACAUAAUAUUUACAAUUUUUGAAGUCCAUGUUGACCCCAUUAAUACACAAAAAUUUUAUUUACACAAGUAUUUGCUUCCAAACAAACUUGAAGUACUUUGGUAAACUGAGGAAGAGACAAACUUUAUACAAAGAAAAACUGAACUUGCCACUGAGACACAAAAAGAAACUCUUUAUUGACUGGCAGAUUUCUAUCCUAGGACUAGAAGCUGUUAUCAUACAGUCUGAGAGAUACUGUUCUUUUACAUACAACCUGGAUUGGGCAUGAUGAAUCCAAGACCUCAGCAGAGAGAGGUCUCCGAGCUUUUAUUAAAUAGUUUGAGGUAUCCUUUGGUAAAACUGUUAGAAUUAUGGUGGUAGGACAGCAGGGAAAAG